rnacentral:rRNA from 1 species
AUUGAACGCUGGCGGCAUGCCUUACACAUGCAAGUCGAACGGCAGCACGGGGGCAACCCUGGUGGCGAGUGGCGAACGGGUGAGUAAAGCAUCGGAACGUACCCGGAAGUGGGGGAUAACGUAGCGAAAGUUACGCUAAUACCGCAUAUUCUGUGAGCAGGAAAGAGGGGGAUCGCAAGACCUCUUGCUUUCGGAGCGGCCGAUGUCGGAUUAGCUAGUUGGUGGGGUAAAAGCCUACCAAGGCGACGAUCCGUAGCUGGUCUUAGAGGAUGAUCAGCCACACUGGGACUGAGACACGGCCCAGACUCCUACGGGAGGCAGCAGUGGGGAAUUUUGGACAAUGGGGGCAACCCUGAUCCAGCCAUGCCGCGUGAGUGAAGAAGGCCUUCGGGUUGUAAAGCUCUUUUGGACAGAAAGAAAUCGCACGAUCUAAUACAUCGUGUGGAUGACGGUACUGUCAUAAGAAGCACCGGCUAACUACGUGCCAGCCGCCGCGGUAA